UCAGGCUGAUAGCAAAAAAAUGGGCUAUACCUGGAACCAGCUAGAGUGAAUGGCCCAGGAUAGAGGACUCUGGAGAUCUACUGUUGGCGGCCCAUACUCCGAUUGGGGUGACGGGCAUGAGUGAGUGAGUCAGUUACUUUACAUAAAACA